UCCAUGUGGAGAUUUCGUCUUACGGGACAAAUAAAAACUACCUUCAGCUAUCUCUCCCAAACACACACCUGAGAUCUCAGCAUCUCACUUCAAAGCGACUCCCUGCUACUACCUGUGGCUGAUCCCUGCCAUCUCUGUCCAGCUGGAUGUGAGUCCCAGGUUUGCUCCUCCCAGCUCUGUUUAGUCUAUUUUACCUCUUUUCCCUCCUUUGGUCUGAGUCUUUGGCUCUUUGCCCACUGUACUGACCACAUCCCCUGACUGUGCUUCUCCUGAACCUCUUGAACUGCAGCAGGACCCUAGGAGCUUCUUAAUUAGAUGCAAAAUAACUCUAAUAUUUAAUAAACCAGGAAAUGAUUUAACAGCUCUAGACACCAUGUCUUUGCCAAUUAAGUAUUUGGCAAUAUUCCCAGUCUUGGCACAAUAACUGUUUAACCUUCAGAGGUGCCUUCAGUGCACUUCCAUCUUGCCUUGAGGUGACUCCUUCUCUGACAAAGAUAUUCAGGGCAGUGAAGGGCCAAUGAAGUAAGGUAGCCUUGCUUUCCUGAGUUGUGAUGUCCUGGAAAAGAGUAGGUAAUGCCAUAUUUGAAGUGGGGAAAUUUAAGUGUGUGUGAGAGAGAGUUUUAACAUGAAUAUUGGUGAGAAAAAUCACCUUGUGGGGAUUUUUUUUACCUUUAAAACAGUCGGGAAUCAGCUAUCCGCAUUCACACCAUCAUGUUGCAAACUUGUGGGUUCCAUUAAAUACUAGAGACAGAUGCAAAUAAGGCAGCAUUUACAUUUCCCAAAGGGAGAGUAGCCAUUCCUUGUUUCUCCCAACAUGCUUUGGUGCAACAUGACAGCUUUUGCGCUUGACAUAAACUAAUUUAAUCAUUAUGCAAAGAGCUUCCUGCAUUAGAUUUGUAAGAUAGCCACAUAUGGCUCCCAAAUAUGCUUUGCAUCACAGACAUGUGCCUCCCUCGCCCCCAUUUCUUAUUUAUUUUUGUUGGUUUAAUAGCUAGGCUAAGGUGAACUCAAAAAUUAGUUCAGUACUUUAUGACUUUCAAUUGAUACUAAUAAAGGCAUUAUUUGAUUGCUAUUGAAGGAAACUAUCCUCUGUGUGUUGCUC